GGAAGUAAAAUCGUAACAAGGUUUCCGUAGGUGAACCUGCGGAAGGAUCAUUAUGGUAUAACCGAGGUGCGAGGGCUGUCGCUGACCCGAAAGGUCGUGCACGCCCGAGUGCCCUCACACACAUCCAUCUCACCCCUAUGUGCACCACCGCGUGGGUCCCCCUUUGGCUUGUUCGGAGGGGGGCUUACGUUUUCACACAAACUUUGUAUGCAGUGUAGAAUGUAUUUUUUGUUUUUGCGAUCACGCAAUCAAUACAACUUUCAACAACGGAUCUCUUGGCUCUC
rnacentral:misc_RNA from 1 species